AUCCAUUGAAGAUGGGAGAAAUGUUGAUUAUAUAGAGACGGAGCAGCUGAUCCCUCAGACGCAGAUGUGAUUCGGCACGGAUCCAGCGGCACUAAAACUACAUACAGGAGACGACAACAAAUAAUGUGAGGAGCAGAAACACAAGAGAAACAUGGAGGAGAUAAAGCUGAUCCUUCACUGCAGCAGAACUCCUGAGCAGCAUCUGAGCGCUGCAUCUGCUAAAGCGUUUGUAAGCGUAUUAUUUCUGCAGGAUUCUUGGGUCGUGAUGUAGCCUAAAACCCCAGAGGCUCA